UACGUAGGUGGCAAGCGUUGUCCGGAUUUAUUGGGUUUAAAGGGUGCGUAGGCGGCUUUGUAAGUCAGGGGUGAAAUAUGGCAGCUCAACUGUCAAGGUGCCAUUGAUACUGCAGAGCUUGAGUACAGAUGAGGUAGGCGGAAUUGACGGUGUAGCGGUGAAAUGCGUAGAUAUCGGCAAGAACACCUAUAGCGAAGGCAGCUUACUAGGCUGUAACUGACGCUGAGGCACGAAAGUGUGGGGAGCAAACAGG
rnacentral:rRNA from 1 species